rnacentral:rRNA from 1 species
UGUUCCUACGGGGCGCAGCAGUGGGGAAUAUUGCACAAUGGGGGAAACCCUGAUGCAGCGACGCCGCGUGAAGGAUGAAGUAUUUCGGUAUGUAAACUUCUAUCAGCAGGGAAGAAAAUGACGGUACCUGACUAAGAAGCCCCGGCUAACUACGUGCCAGCAGCCGCGGUAAUACGUAGGGGGCAAGCGUUAUCCGGAUUUACUGGGUGUAAAGGGAGCGAAGAAGGCGAUGCAAGCCAGAUGUGAAAGCCCGGGGCUCAACCCCGGGACUGCAUUUGG